CAUAAACUCGUCUGUUAGUAUGGACAUUAAGUGACUGAACCACAAUAGGAGAAGAGUUUGCACCAUGGUAUCCUGAUAUUGAAGUCACAUACUCAUCUGGGUAAUCUAGUUCAACCACAUUUGUGUUGCCUCCAUUGUUUCCUCCAUGCCUAGAAGAUGAUACUAAGCUCCCAUCUUUGUCGUACUCAAUAAGAAUGGAGUUGAUUAUUGAUUCAGAUGCCACAAUUAUUCGCCUUAUAGUAGUGUACACCCCAUCGUCCCAAGAAAUUCCAGUGUUGCCUCCAAAUGGACCAAUAGAUUUGAAAGGAUGAAUUGGCUCCACAUGUACUCCAAUUGAUUUAAGGUAAGGACCAACACUCCCAAAGAACCCAACAAUCUUGCCAGCAGUAGAUGGAACCAAAAAAUAGUUGCCUCCUUUAGUGCCAAAUGGUCCAAAUUCUCUUUUAUUGCUUUUUACAUAUAAUGAAGAGAUAAAAAUAUGACCCGUGUAUACAUUAUA
rnacentral:misc_RNA from 1 species